rnacentral:ribozyme from 1 species
UGCCCAGCAACUCCUAUCCCUACCUCCAUGCGAUACCGGCCGGAAACUAUGAGCAACCUUAGGGAAGAUCGGAUAACCAACCCCGCCGGUGGGAACUUUGGUCGUAGGCUGACAGGGAAGG